AGUGAACGCUGGCGGUAGGCCUAACACAUGCAAGUCGAACGGCAGCACAGAGGAGCUUGCUCCUUGGGUGGCGAGUGGCGGACGGGUGAGGAAUACAUCGGAAUCUACUCUGUCGUGGGGGAUAACGUAGGGAAACUUACGCUAAUACCGCAUACGACCUACGGGUGAAAGCAGGGGAUCUUCGGACCUUGCGCGAUUGAAUGAGCCGAUGUCGGAUUAGCUGGUUGGCGGGGUAAAGGCCAACCAAGGCGACGAUCCGUGGCUGGUCUGAGGGAUGAUCAAGCCACACUGGAACUGGGCCACGGUCAAAAUCCUUAGGGGGGGAGGCAGUGGGAAAUUUUGGACAUGGGGGGAAAGCCUGAUCCAGCAAUACCGCGUGGUGAAGAAGGCCUUCGGGUUGUAAAGCCCUUUUGUUGGGAAAGAAAUCCAUCUGGUUAAUACCCGGGUGGGAUGACGGUACCCAAAGAAUAAGCACCGGCUAACUUCGUGCCAGCCGCCGCAGUAA
rnacentral:rRNA from 1 species